GGGCAUCAGCAAAGUAAGCCAAGAGUUUGUUUAAAUACUUGGAGCUCUGCUAUCUAUCAGAAGUGACAAGAGAUUACAUUAUGCAGAGGGCUGGCUAUUUUAAGAGGGAGCCAGGUGCCAACUUUCCUGGCUACUGAAGUCUUUAAUACUGUUGUGGGAAUAGAAAGUGUUGGACAUGUAUGGAUCCCAUGCACCCAGGGUACUUGCCAGACCCACUCCUGCUGCAUGGAUGCGCUGUUUGCUGUCUCUGCAUCUGCCUUGUGACUCUGCAUAGAAAUAUUUCCUUAGGGUGAGACUGCACGUGGUCCUGGAUGAAAACUCAAGACCUUUCUUGCUAAUUCAGUU
rnacentral:lncRNA from 1 species